CACAUGCAAGUCGAACGAAAAACCAAGAUUUCGAAUUUUGGUGGAUUAGUGGCGAACGGGUGAGUAACACGUUGGUGACCAACCCCGAGGAGGGGGACAACUGUGGGAAACUACAGCUAAUACCCCGGAUGCUCAGAUGUUUAGAAAGUCUGAGUUAAAGCUCCGGUGCCUCGGGACGGGCCUGCGGGCUAUCAGCUUGUUGGUGGGGUAAUGGCCUACCAAGGCGAAGACGGCUAGGGGGCGUGAGAGCGUGGCCCCCCACAAUGGAACUGAGACACGGUCCAUACUCCUACGGGAGGCAGCAGUGAGGAAUAUUGCGCAAUGGGGGAAACCCUGACGCAGCAACGCCGCGUGGGUGAUGAAGGCUUUCGGGUCGUAAAACCCUUUUCUGGGGGACGAAACCAGACGGUACCCCAGGAAUAAGUCCCGGCUAACUACGUGCCAGCAGCCGCGGUAAAACGUAGGGGGCGAGCGUUAUCCGGAAUUAUUGGGCGUAAAGCGCACGUAGGCGGCAUGGUAAGUUGGACGUGAAAGCUCUCGGCUUAACUGAGAGAGGUCGUUCAAAACUGCGAUGCUUGAGACUAGAAGAGGAGAGCGGAAUUCCCGGUGUAGUGGUGGAAUGCGUAGAUAUCGGGAGGAACACCAGUGGCGAAAGCGGCUCUCUGGUCUACGUCUGACGCUGAGGUGCGAAAGCGUGGGGAGCGAACGGGAUUAGAUACCCCGGAUAGUCCACGCUGUAAACGAUGGAUACUAGGUGUAGGAGGCUUUUAACCCCUUCUGUGCCGAAGCUAACGCGUUAAGUAUACAGACCUGGGGACUACGGACGCAAGGCUAACACUCAACGGCAAUUGACGGGGGGCCCGAACAAGGCAGAUGAGCGUUGUGGUAUACUUCGAUGAUUCCCGAAGAACCUAACCUGGAUUUGACAUGUAGGUAGUAGCAAUGCGUAAUCGGCUUGACCAUUCGGGGAGCUUACACAGGGUGCUGCAUGGCUGUCGUCAGCUCGUGUCGUGAGAUGUUGGGUUAAGUCCCGCAACGAGCGCAACCCUUGUCGUUAGUUAUAUGUGUCUAGCGAGACUGCCGGUUUCAAACCGGAGGAAGGUGGGGAUGACGUCAAGUCAGCAUGGUCUUUAUGUCCAGGGCUACACACACGCUACAAUGGUCGGUACAGUGGGUUGCCACACCGCGAGGUGGAGCUAAUCCUCAAAGCCGGCCUCAGUUCGGAUUGCAGUCUGCAACUCGACUGCAUGAAGUCGGAGUUGCUAGUAACCGCGCGUCAGCAAUAGUGCGGUGAAUGCGUUCCCGGGCCUUGUACACACCGCCCGUCACAUCAUGGAAGUCGGUAACACCUGAAGUCGGUG
rnacentral:rRNA from 1 species